GUUCCCUCGAAAUAAUUAUUUCGUUCCCUCGAUUUAGGAUAUCGAGCGAACGAAUUAAGUAUUUCGUUCCCUCGAAAUAAUCAUAUUAGAAAUCGAAAUACAAUUUCGUGAUUAAAGUCUAAAUCUCUGGCCCAUCAAAGCCAGUGAGGAGAGACGGACAUGCAGCUGUUUUAUAAUAGAUCCAUGCAGCAGCAGCAGCAGCAGCAGCAGCACCGGGACCAGCUACAACAUCUUGGAGUGGAAGGGGCCGUCUAUGUGCUGGAGUUAACAGUGGCUGAGUCGCAACGCUCUGACAUCCACGUUGACAUUAUACAGCAAUCUUACAGACUACAAUCCACCAGAACAUCUGUUCCUUGGACUGGGCAAAAAUGUCAAUCACCG